ensembl:lncRNA
GAAUGACUGACUUUUCUUCUUGUUAAAGCCGUGUCGCUGCACCUGAGCCUAAAAGUAUCUGUAACUAUUACCUCCAUUUUUAUGAAAGCUGGAGAUGACGUCACUCUGCCUUGUCUAAAUGGGGUAAAUAAAAAGAAUAACUGUGAUGGUACUACGUGGACCUUUACUUCAGGAAACACACAAACAGCAGAGCUGAUCACACUUGGACAGAUUGGUGAAAAUCCCAAAACUAAAUCAGACAGACUGAGUGUUGCAGAAACCUGUUCUCUGGUUAUAAAGAAUCUCACAGUUGAGGAAGUUGGUCAAUAUUCCUGUGAUCAUCACAAAUUACGAGAAAUACAAACUCAACACACUCUGUUUCAUCAGGCAAAGGUUGAUCUAUCUGCUAUUACCUUGACUGAACAUAAGGACACUGAUAAGGUGACGUUAAGCUGCUCUGUGGUGACGUAUGGAGAGUGUCAUCACACAGUAAAGUGGCUGCUUAAAGGUCGAGAGGUGGAUAGCAAGGAUAGCAAACAAAUACUGACUUCACAGACUGACUGCUCCGCCACUCUGUCUUUUCUGAUUUAUCACCAUAUUCACAACUCAAGAUAUAACACUGUGAAGUGUGAAGUAACUGACACCAAAACAGGGAAAGUGCAACUGUUUACCUUUAGCCAUCAGCCCUCAGGCGAGGAAACAGGUCACAAAAAAACUACACAGAGACCAACAAGAACAACUGAAAGCAGCACAACAACACAAACAACAAUAAUGAAAGAUGCUUCACAAGAUUUUUCUGCAUCCUUGAGAUUCAUUAUUGUUUCUGUGGGUUUAGCAGCACUUUUAAUAACUACUGUGACAGUCAUAUGGACAAGAACUACUGGUAAACUUAAUCAUGAGAAGUUUGAAUGACUUUGAAUUGUCAAUUAAACUGAAAUGGACUUUUUUCCUCUUAUUUUAGGGAACAAAACACAGACGAUUAAAACCACAGGACUGAGUUUAAACCCUGCAGAGACUCAGUCUGCUCCUCAUACCGGUCCAGAUUUGGUCCAGAGUCAUGACGAAGUUGAUGUAGUGACGUGCAGCACUGUGAAGGCUCCUUCCUCUUCUGGUACAGCUGAUCCCAGCAGCCUGCUCUACUGUACAUUUUCC